rnacentral:rRNA from 1 species
CCUGGGGAGUACGGCCGCAAGGUUAAAACUCAAAUGAAUUGACGGGGGCCCGCACAAGCGGUGGAGCAUGUGGUUUAAUUCGACGCAACGCGAAGAACCUUACCUGGCCUUGACAUGCAGAGAACUUUCCAGAGAUGGAUUGGUGCCUUCGGGAACUCUGACACAGGUGCUGCAUGGCCGUCGUCAGCUCGUGUCGUGAGAUGUUGGGUUAAGUCCCGUAACGAGCGCAACCCCUAUCCCUAGUUGCUAGCAGUUCGGCUGAGAACUCUAGGGAGACUGCCGGUGACAAACCGGAGGAAGGUGGGGAUGACGUCAGGUCAUCAUGGCCCUUACGGCCAGGGCUACACACGUGCUACAAUGGUGCGUACAGAGGGCUGCAAACCCGCGAGGGGGAGCUAAUCUCACAAAACGCAUCGUAGUCCGGAUCGGAGUCUGCAACUCGACUCCGUGAAGUCGGAAUCGCUAGUAAUCGCGAAUCAGAAUGUCGCGGUGAAUACGUUCCCGGGCCUUGUACACACCGCCCGUCACACCAUGGGAGUGGAUUGCACCAGAAGUGGUUAGUCUAACCUUCGGGAGGACGAUCACCACGGUGUGGUUCAUGACUGGGGUGAAG